CUAGUACUCCCUCCGUCCAGAAAUACUUGUCGGAGAAAUGGAUAAAAAUGAAUGUAUCUAGAAUUAAAAUAUGUCUAGAUACAUCCAUUUCUUCGACGAGUAUUUCCGGACGAAGGGAGUACUAG
rnacentral:pre_miRNA from 1 species